AUUGAACGCUGGCGGCAGGCCUAACACAUGCAAGUCGAGCGGAUGAAGGGAGCUUGCUCCUGGAUUCAGCGGCGGACGGGUGAGUAAUGCCUUGGAAUCUGCCUGGUAGUGGGGGAUAACGUCCGGAAACGGGCGCUAAUACCGCAUACGUCCUGAGGGAGAAAGUGGGGGAUCUUCGGAUCUCACGCUAUCAGAUGAGCCUAGGUCGGAUUAGCUAGUUGGUGGGGUAAAGGCCUACCAAGGCGACGAUCCGUAACUGGUCUGAGAGGAUGAUCAGUCACACUGGAACUGAGACACGGCCCAGACUCCUACGGGAGGCAGCAGUGGGGAAUAUUGGACAAUGGGCGAAAGCCUGAUCCAGCCAUGCCGCGUGUGUGAAGAAGGUCUUCGGAUUGUAAAGCACUUUAAGUUGGGAGGAAGGGCAGUAAGUUAAUACCUUGCUGUUUUGACGUUACCAACAGAAUAAGCACCGGCUAACUUCGUG
rnacentral:rRNA from 1 species